CAGACCAGAAGUGAGGUCUCCUAAUUCCUUGUACAAGACAAUAAUUUUGAAAGCGCUUCAUGAGCUGGUGGGUGCUGUGGAGACUUGGAGAAAUACUUACUUUGGUCAUUACUUCUGCAUCACGUGUCAAUUUAUAAACAGUCACUGGGCAGGCUCUGAGGGAGACUCCCCCCAAUGCUGGUGUUAUGUUAUUGGAUGGGCUGGUGGAGACGGGGAGGCUAUUGCAAUAAUGCAGGCAAGUGGUGGUGAGAGCCUGAACUAGACCAUCGUGAAGGACGAACUGAACAGAAAUGAGGAGGCAGCAGUAUGGACAGUGGUGAUUCAGAGGUUCCCAAUCUGGGGGACUGGAAAACUGAGGCUGUUAGAAAAUAGGGAAGUAGGAUAGUAGCCAGGAAUGGGGCAAGGCCUGCCAUGAGGAUUAAAUGGGAUGGUCAGGGUAAUGCCCCACUGCCUGGCAUAGAUUCAAUGUUCCCUGGGGGCGAGCAGCUGUGACGAUGACCAUUAUACCUUCCUCUGCCCAGGCUGUUCCACGGUCAGCCUCCAGAACUAGUAGAGAGAACAUUAAAUGGGCUGCAAGCUGGGGAGCCUGGAUUCCAUGACCAACUCCGCCACUAACUCCCCAUGUGGUCUUGGACUAGCCCUUUCUCUUCUGUGGGCCUCAGUUUCCUCAUUUAUAAAAUGAGAACCUUGAACUUGAUCAGCUGUUCUCAACCUCCAUGGCUUGACAGCGUCACUCUCAGGGGAAGAGGAGGGAAUGGAUUACUGCCGGCAAGCGGGAUGCUCCAUUUACCCCACUCUGCCCCAUCUCAUCUCUGCCAAUUUUUGGUACAGACUACAAAAAUCUGGGUCUACUCUUGAAAGAGUGUCAUGGCAUCACUACCAUAAUUAGCAGCUGGGCAGGUAGUCCUGGCCUGGACAUCUGAGAAGAGGUGAGAAGACAAUAAACAAAUCGAAUGCAAACUAGCAUUAUAGACCAGAGAGACAGAGCCAGGUGGUUGGAGUUAGAGAAGCAAAUUCACGCCCUCUCUUCCCACCAAUCCUGGAAGACUUGCUGUUGCAGCCAGUUACACCUCUGCCCAACUGCGUGAAGAGUGCCAUCUGGGCUGGCAGGGCGUGGCCCCAGCAGGGUGUAAAAAAGCAGGCUCUGUCUUGAAGACUCCGUAGCCUGCUGAACCAGGGGAGCCGGAACUCCCUUCACGCGGCCAUUCCCUGACAGCUGCAAGCUCUCUUCUUGGCUCCAGUACGAAUUCCCUGCUACACGCCCUGGGCGACAGUGACAUAAGCAAGUCUGGACAGAGAGAUGGGAGCCAGUUCCUUGUGAACCCGUGAAGCGGGACCCUCUUCUUCUUUAGACUCUAAAGUGCUGGAAGAGGCAGGUACAGUGUCCUCAGCACAGCCGGGGAAAGGGCUUUGAAAAGCACCGAAGAGUUGAUGACACCCGCAAGGUGUUCCCUGUUCCCUCCUGCCUCCAUUCUGGUUGAAGGGAUAUUAAGGACCUAAAAUGUCAGCAAGAUCUGAAGUGAGACUUCCAGGAACAUUUAUUUACUCUAUGUAGGUUUAGUGCUUAAAAAGCAAAGGGUGAAUGCCCUAGGAUUUUGAAUGCAGCCCUCUCCUGGGAAGAACAUUGGGAUCCCUCAGCUGGUUUGAGAGCAGAAAAUACAUUUGCUCCCUGUAUAGCCUUGAACAUGUUGCUUUCCCUCUCUGGGCCUCAGUUUCCCCAACUGUGUAAUGAUGGGAUUGGCCGAUGCUCUCUAAGUCCCUUCUGGUUCUGGCUAGAUGACUUGUUUCUAAAAAUAAGUGACAGACCUAGACCAGGAGUUGCUUGAGAGUAGGGACCAUAAUCACCCUGGCACAGGGCCUAGAACACAACACGUGCUUAAUAUUUGCAGCAUUAAUCAAUCCAUGACUUCGUUUCUCUGCUUCAAGAUGCUGAUGAUCAGUUCAGGGAGCUCUAGGUCUGUGCUGUCUAGGUAUGAUUCUCUCCACCGAUAGGGGACUGCGUUGGGAUCAGUGCUUCCCAAAUCAGACUACCAGCCACCUGAAAAGAUUUUCAUACAGAUUCCCAGGUCCCUCUUCAGAAUCAGUGCAUUAGAAUCUCUAGCGGCAGAGGCUGAGGCUCCACCUUCAGACGUGUUCCAAAGGUGAUUCUGAGGCAGGUGAUUCUCUGUCUUCUGAUGGAGAAGUGCCUUGAGAUACCAUGCCUCUACAAUGAUUUAAGAUAGUACUGUCCCCAUGGGAAUUUGGAAGGUCUGUCUCAAUCCCACAUUCUCUGGGAAGCCUUCCUUACCUCAGACCACAGCCUGUUGAAGUGAAGGGAGUGUUGAAGGCCAGGAAUUCUUUAAAUGAGUUAAAGCACAGAAGCAUUUGAACAGGGGCUGACACAGUAUGUAGUCAAUAAAUGCUAUUUAUUCAACCACCUCAUUUUGCUGAAGCCUAGAGACGGGGAACAAUUUACCCAAGUUCCCAAAGCAAACUGAUGGCAGAGAGGGGACCAAAAUCCAGGUCUAGACUCCAUUCUCAGGCCCUCUUGACUUUGUUCUGGUGUCUCCUGAAGGUCAUAUUUAACCAAAGAUACAAACAUCUGUAUACAUAUCAGUUUGUCAGAAAUCCAUUGUUCAUUAGCAUCAGCAGGCAUCUAGGAUCCCUCAAAAUAUGUGCCUAGGAGCUUCUCUGGUGGCGCAGUGGUUGAGAGUCCGCCUGCCGAUGCAGGGGACAUGGGUUCGUGCCCCGGUCCGGGAAGAUCCCACAUGCCGCGGAGCGGCUGGGCCCGUGAACCAUGGCCGCUGAGCCUGCGAAUCUAGAGCCUGUGCUCCGCAACGGGAGGGGCCACAACAGUGAGAGGCCUGCGUACCGCAAAAAAAAAAAAAAAAAAAAAUGUGCCUAGCCUCAUGUCAACACGAUGAAAGAUGUCAAAAAGGUUUCUGAAAGUUACAAUCCCUGCCUUCGAAGUGUGUCCACCAGAGCCAGGACAAGGGUAAGGCAAGUGCAGAGCUGGCACCCGCAAGCGAGUGCCUCUUUAAAUGGUGCACCCUGAGUGCCUGACUUGCCUCACCCUAGUCCUAGACCUGCUGUUUGGUUUCCCCAGGGGAGACAAGAAGGAGUCAGAGCCUGAGGCUUGCAGUGGGGCCACAGACCAGUUACCUUCUUUCUCUGGGCCUCAGUUGGUCAAUCUGUUAGAUAAGAGUCUUCGACAAUCUCUCCGUGGUGGUCUCUGUGGCUCUACAGUUCCAAGGGUCUAAGGAAGACCUGUGCUGCACCAGACUCGGGAGUACUGAUCCCAUGGACAGUGGGCUGGGAGUUUGAGGGAGCAUGGCCUGCCGUUGGGUUGGGCCUUCAUGCUGCAGACUACUUUCAAAGGAGGUCUGAGCCUCAGUACAAAGAUCAUGAAGACAAGGUUGAAAACAACACUUGCCAGUCUUUUCACCAUAAGCCUUUCUAGCACAUUUGGUUGAUUUGUUCCCAGGAACCCUAUGUUUUGAAAGAUGUUAUUCUCCGCCAGGAUGUUUCCCCUUGCCCUCAGGUUAAAGUCCAAAUUCCUUAGCGCUUCAGACAGUAUCCUCCAAAUCCAGCCACUUCCUCAUCUUUUGCCACACUCCUCUUAUUCUCUCUACCCAGCUGUACUGGACUAUUCUCCAGUUCUUCCAACAUGCCGUUCUCUCUCACCUCCAGGUCUUGUCUAUGUUGUUGAGUUCUGUCUGGAACUCUCCACGUUCUCUCUCUUUUACUGCUUCUCUCCCACCAUUUUCAGGUUUCAGCAUCCUGUCAACACCGUGGAAAGAGUUUUAUUCAGGUCCCCUUGCUUUAUUCUAUUAUAGUUCCUAGAGUAUUUGACAUUUUCUACAUCAAGCCUUUGUUGUACUUUACCAUCAUUUCUUCUUUUUCUGUUUUCUACAACAAAUCAUAAGGUCCACAAAGUCUUCAGUCUCACCACUUUGCAGAGGGCUUAAUACACAGUAGAUGCUCAGUAACUAUCUAUUAAAUAAACAAAUGCCAAAUAAAACACUCUUUGGCAAAUGGAAUAAACAGAUCUUGAGGUCAGCGUGUGCUAUCAAGUUUGAGCCCACGAAACUGGUCUGAUUACAGCUGCUAGUAAGAUUUGAGAUGUGUGAGUUUGUCAGAGGAGAGCAGAUGAUUUCAUCUGGGUCUCAGGAAAGGAAAGGUGGAGACAGAUACUCUAGAGGAAUCAUAAGCCAGUUUUGUUCCCAGCCUGAGAACAUGCCCUACUGCAUCCCAGGUAAGUGGGCACCCAGUACCCCUUCACUCUCUCUUUUUUAGAUGUAUUUGGGGAGCUCCCUAUCUACCUGCUUGGUGGGUGGAUGGGGACUGUAGAUGAUUAAAAGGAGGUUUUUUUAAAAAGUGCUGAUGCUCUGCGUCUUUGAGGAAGAUAGAGCAUGAGUUAAUAAAUAAGAAGGGCGUAAAAAGUGAAAACAAUGGAAGCCAGCCCUAUGGGUGCUGAGUAAGCACUGGACUCAGUGACGGAGUCAGCCAGCCCAACUGAUGGGUCCAGAUGGCGGUGGCAGAAGGGAGGCCCAGCCCCACCACUUCAGUGCCAACUCAAAUGGUGGCACUGUUUUGCAAUCAAGACAGGAUUGCAGAACCUAGGUGGGGCCCUGAAGCUGCUGGUUUCCUAAAUAAUUGGCAGGUGCUGUCUUAGAGCUAGCCAGGGGACAGGAAGAGAGGUGGCUAGAGCCUUUGCUUUUCAAACCAGUGCCUUCCAAACUCUGGGCCUCAGUUUCCUCAUCUAUGGAAUAAAGAGUUGGACAAGUUGACCUCAAAGGCCAACCUUUUGGAUAAUAAGAGGAGCAGCCAGCAUUCACCCAACAUCCUGUAUGUACCAGGUACUGCCUUAGAUUUGUUGACUUUUGGAAAAAUCCCUGUAACUUCAUGAGGUAGCUAACAUUAUUAUCCCCAUUUUAGAGAUGAAGAAACUAACACACAGGUUAAAUCACUUCGCUUAAGGUCAUGCAGCUGGUAGGUGGCACAACCAGGAUUCUGACCCAGAUGUCCUGUUUCCAGAGUCCUUGUCAUUAUCUGUAAGCCUGUGCUGUUCAACAUGGCAGCCAAUAGCUGGAUGUGGCAUGUGAGCACUUGGAAUGUGGCUAGUCCAAACUGAGAUGUGCUGUGAAUGUAAAAUACACACUGGUUUGUGAAGACUUAGUAAGAAAAAAAGAAUGUAAAAACAUCUCGAUAAAUUUUUAUAUCAUUACGUGUUGAAACGUUAAUAUUUUUAUAUAUUGGAUUAAGGAAACUAUAUUCUUGAAGUUAAUUUCACCUCUUUCUUUUUACUUUGCAAAAUGUGACCAAUAGAAAAAUUUAAAUUACAUACACAACUGACAUUAUGUUUUUAUUGGAUCGUGCUGGGUUUGAGCUGUAUAUUCAUACAACAUUGCUAUAGGAUUAUAGUUGUCUCUGUGAAAUCUAGGCUUAUCCCCUGUCUGAGGUCCCCAAGACCACCUCCCGGUUCAAUGAUUUGCCAUCAGCACUCACAGAACUCAACAUAUAAUCAUGCUCACACUAUGACUUAGUACAGUAAUAGGUUACAGAACAAAUCAACCAAGGGAAAAGGUACACGAGACAAAGACUGGGUGAAAUCAGGCACAAGCUUCUAAGAGGCCUCUCCCAGCUGAGUCACACAGGCUGUACUGAAUUCCUCUAGCAACAAAGUGUGACAACACAUGUAAAGCGUCCACCAGGGAGGCCCCUUAGACUCAGUGCUCAGUUUUUAUUGGGGGCUGGCCAUGUAGGCAUCCUCUGCCUAGCAUGUACCAAGAUGCCAGACUCCCAGAAGGAGAGCAGGAAUUCAGCACAGGCCACAUUGUUUGUCCAAAUAGUUCAGACCUAGUGAACCACGCUUAUCAGUUCUGGGAAUGGUGGAAAUCCUCCUGAAAUCAAAGUCGCUGAACAUCAACCCAGGGCCAGUUGUGCAAGCAGAUCUUUCUAAGCAUAGCAAUUUCAGGCUUGCAUGUUAACUCUUUUCCUCAGAUCUUGCAAUUAAACUUCAGCAGGACCUGGCCUGGCAAAUACUAGGUUUAUUGAAUUUACCUGAAAUGGAGUUAAUGACUGUCACUUCCUCUAAUGCCCGCUUCAUUGGAGGGAGGAUUAUAAAAAACGGGAAGAGUCCCUAGAAACGAUCUCAUUCAACCCUCUGAUCUGAGAGGCUGAGGUUCCAAGAGGCUGAGUGAUUUGUCCAGGGACCCACAGCAAAGACAGGCAUCUGCAAGUGUCACACCUAUGCUGGAUACAAUUCCAAGCUUUCAGACAAAAUGUCCCUUCCCUUCUCUUGGAACCUAAAAUGUGUACCCUUUUCCCCACUUCUUAGUAGUAGGGAGCCCUGCCUAUGUCUCUGCUGGCCUCAUUUUUCCUGCCCUCCAUCCUCUCUAUGUUGUUGUUUGGUUGGGAGACUACUGUGCUGGAGUAGCAAUAAUGACCUUCAUAAACAGUCACUAAACAGUGGACAACCCGUAUUCUACUUCCUCUGGUUAACAAAACCAAUGAGGACUAGUGGGAACUAAUAAACUCUAGAGUAGGACAAGCAGAUGGAGUGGGUAGCCCAUCACCCCUCCUCCCUCACUUCUCCCAACAUGACCGCAGAUAACAAAUGGCCAGGUCUGGUCCACAUCAUUGUCACCACUUCCCCAACUCAGAGGUUCAUGUCAGGGGUAUACUUGAGAAAGUUUUGGACUGAGAGUCUGGAGUCCUGAUCCUAUCUCCGUAGGUGCCAUAGGCUAGUCCCAUCUCUCCGAGCCCUGACGUCCCCAACUCUGAAACAAGUUAGAAUUCUAAGGUUUUGUCCAUCCUAGUCAGUCUCUGACUGCGCAGUGUCUCAUGAACUGACCCCAGGAAGGAGUCCCUGAGGACAAAUGGAGUGGUGGCCUGGAGAAUCUGCCUAGUCGGGUUGGGUUACAGGGUGAGGGUGGACUGUGGGUAAAUCAUGUUGUCUCCUCCUUUGUGGCUACCAUCACUGUCACCCUCAAGCAGUUAUUUUGAGCUUUAGAUGAGCCAGGACACUUAGUUCAGAGUCUGCCUGUUACCACCCCCAUCCAUGUUCCCUGUAUGAUGAAGAGGUUGGGCCUGAUGUCUCUGGGGCCCUAAACUUGUUCAGAUGCACUCUACUGCCACCUGGCUGGGUAACUUCUGCUAAAGUAGAUUCACCUUUCUGGGGCUUCACCUUCCCCAGCUGUUAAGUGGGGUCAAUAAUUUCUGCCCUGACUGCUCUUAAGCCUUUUAGGAGGCUCUGGUGGAGUAUUAGAGCUGCAAGAUGCUAGAAUAUGAGCUCCAUAAAGGACUGAGAAAUUAUAAUUUUUUUCUUCCAAUUAAUUCUUUGUCUCCAAAGCCAUGCCUUGUCCAUGUCUUUUCCUCAUAUUAAUGAGCUCUUAAAACUUACUAAACUGAGUGUGUUAAUUAAUUCAACAAGUGUUUCUUCCUUUUUUUUUUUUUUUUUUUUUUUUGCGGUACGCGGGCUUCUCACUGUUGUGGCCGCUCCCGUUGCGGAGCACAGGCUCCGGACGCGCAGGCUCAGCGGCCAUGGCUCAUGGGCCCAGCCGCUCCGCGGCAUGUGGGAUCCUCCCGGACCGGGGCACGAACCUGUGUCCCUUGCAUCGGCAGGCGGACUCUCAACCACUGUGCCACCAGGGAAGCCCAAGAGGUGUUUCUUAAGCAUCUACUACGUACUAUGCACUGUGCCAACUGUUGAGGAUUCUAUGAUUCAGGGAGAACAGGAUGUGAUUCCUGCCCUCCAGGAGCUCACGGUCUGGUGCAGGGACAACAGCAAACUGGCUACACAGGGUGACAGAUGCUCUUGAAGGAGAAAGUGCAGCACAAAGAGAGGCACCUCACCUGGAUUCGUGGGAGCAGGGCUGGCUUCCAGGUGGAAGUAACUAGUGACUGAGAAGGAGCAAGAGUUAGCUGGGUGAGAGACAUGAAAGAAGUAGCAAAAAAGAGAUCGUGUUUGGGGCUAAAAGAACCAAUAGAUCAAGGGUCAAGUGGGCCCCUUCCAACUUUGACACGCAGGUUUUUCAUGGCUGAAGCAGAGAGUUCAAGGUGAAAAGUGACAAGAGGUAAGGCUGGAGAGGUAAAUAAGGGCAGAUGGAGAUGGGCUUUCGCAGCCUUGGACUUUAUUUUGAGGACAAUAGACAGAAGAAAACUCCCCGCUCCGCCAUUUUGUUUUGCUAUUCUUUUAUUACUUUCCACAAUUUUAAGUGUUCUCAUUCAUUUAUUUAUCUACCUACUUAUGGUCUAUCCCAUUCUCCUUCCACCUAGAAUGUAAACAGCAUGAUGUCAGAGACUAUGUCUUAUUCUCUGCUGUAACGUCAGCCCUAGAAAAGAACCAAGCACACAUAGAGCGUAUUUAAUUAAUAGUUGUUUAAGAGUGAAUGAAUGAAUGCAAAAAAAGAAAGGAGAGACAUAGGUUUGGGAGUGUUCCUUGUACUUUGCCUUUAUUUAGGGAGAAGCCUCCCCCUCCCCACCCUCCAUAGGGGAGGGUUGCAGCUCAGAAAGUUUUGUCUCUUCAGGAAGUGAAGUGCAGGUGAGGGUGAGAAAUGGGCUAGGGAGAAGGAUCAUGGCUGACCCUGGAGUUGAAAGCCUAACUGAGGUCUGGACAUCAAAUUCCUUUUCCUUAAGGCUCUGUGGUCCAUGGGAAAUAACCUGGCCCUCACACUGAACUCCAAAACAUUUUAGGGCAUCUGGGUCAGAAUCCGGCCUUCUACUUCUCAGGCUUUGAUCUCUCAACCUCAUUAGAUUAUCAGCCCAGAAGGGUCCUUGGAGAUGAUCUAGUUCCUUCGACUCCAAGUGUAUGGUCCUUAGACUCCACUGACAGACAUUCCCACUGCUGCCUACCCUGCUCCUGGUGCUUCUUAUACAACGUUAAGUUGACGAAUUCAUAUCAGCUUUAGACUUUAUGUUUUUGAGAGGUAGAAGUUCUUUCUCAGGUUACCCCUUGCCUUGCUUCUCCUCCCACUUUCCAUCUAUUCAUGGUCCUCCCAAGUCAAGGCUCUGGAUGAAGUCUGGGCAAGUCAGGUCCUGAAGGUUCACCCUAGGCUCUAAGCCUUACUUCUCUGCCUCUUCCAAAACCAGCUACUGGCUUCUCCCCCAACUCUAGACAGCAGGACCAUACCUGUCGUGUUCAAAGAUGUCAAGCCUAGCAUGCAGCAAAAAGUUCCUGGAGAAGGGCUCUUCCUCUUCCAAAUGCCCAAGAAAUGUGGGAACCUCGUGACUGAGUUUGAAGUGAUCUUCCCCUCAAAAUUGCCCAGGCAUCAAGAACCAUGCUUGAGCAGGGUCUUCCUCUGUAGCCACCCGUGUUCCCUAAGGACUGACCAGGGAACUUUCCAGAACACAAGGAUCUCUGGAACCAUCCACGAGUUUUGGACCUGUGAGAGAGUAGGAGAGCCCAGGGAGGGCUUUCCUACUGCUGAAUGUUUUCCAGAGAAUAUAUUAUAAUCUUUCAAAGUUGAAAAAACAAUUAGUGGGGACAGAUGGCAUUAAGGCAGGGCCUCCAAAAGAAAGGACAUAUCUCUCCCACACAGGGUCUGGUCUCUCUCUGUGGCUUGUGGGUCAGGGUGGACAGGGUUGGAAAGAUGACUGGGAGUCCAGGCUCAUCCAUUGGUGUUAUCUGCUUGGCCAGCUCAGUCAGACAAACGAAAGGUUCUUGUGUUUUGGGCUGUGGGUUUAAGCCCCAGGCACUGGGAAGCAUAAAGGAGUCUUGCUGAAUUUGGCAUCAGAGAAACCUGUAUGCAAGCCCCAGAUCUGCCCCUUUCUAGUUAUUUCACCUUGGGUAAGGCAUCUUUCCUCAUUUGUAGAAUGGAGAUUUUAUGUGGACUGAGAGAAUGCCUGUGAACACAUUUGGUGCAGGGUGUGCAAUAUGUCCCCCUGGUUAUUAUUAUUAAAGAUGCCAGUGGUGACCGCACGUAUCCUAGCCAUGCAGGGAUGCCUGAAACAAGCAUCCUCGAGGGCAUGGAGGCUGGGGCUCUGACCCUCAGACUCUGACCAUCCCAUUGUCCCCUCCAAUCUCCAUCUGCAAUUCUACAACUCAGCACUGCUCUGUGAUCUCAGACCAAUCCUUAGAGUGUCUCUGGUCGUCUCUGCCCUUUCUGCCCCAUGAGAAGUUGGACCAGAUGACCUCUAAGGGCUCUAUCUGGCUUUGAAAGUCUUUGACUAGUUUCCUAGGGUCUCUCUGGGACAGUCAAGUACUUUGUGUACCUAGAAUGUAAGCAGCAUGAUGUCAGAGACUAUGUCUUAUUCUCUGCUGCAACUCCAGCCCUAGAAAAGUACCAGGCACACACAGAGGGUUUUUAAUGAACAGUUAUUUAAGAAUGAAUGAGUGGGGGCUUCCCUGGUGGCGCAGUGGUUGAGAGUCCGCCUGCCGAGGCAGGGGAUGCGGGUUCGUGCCCCAGUCCGGGAAGAUCCCACAUGCCACAGAGCGGCUGGGCCCGUGAGCCAUGGCCGCUGAGCCUGCGCAUCCAGAGCCUGUGCUCCGCAGCGGGAGAGGCCACGACAGUGAGAGGCCCGUGUACCGGAAAAAAAAAAAAAAAAAAGAAAGAAAA